GAACACAAGAAGAUGUUAUUUGUUCUGAACAGAAAAGGAACUCAAUGCUUUCAUGCAAUGUAAUAUACCUAUGGCAGAGCAGAACAAAUGGGAGUGUUGCAGGAUCCGCUGCCAAGAUUGCAUGCAUGUAAAGUGAGGAGAAAGCAGCAAUUCUGCAUGCCUGUCUGCUCCAGAACAGCAGUGCAAGGCUGCUUAUUUUCAGCAUACUCCUGUCCAGGCUCUGAGCCCAGGGAAAAGGCACCACAGAGAGCAUCCAGGGUUGGCUCUCUGAGAAGACAGCUGCCCAGGACCGAGGCAGUGACAGUCACUGAUCACUAAAGUCACACAGUCAAGGGACCAUGCUAGCAAACAACCAGCCUUAGAGUGGAGGUAAGAGCACAUGUUCCUGUGCCCAGUGGCUCAUUUUGUAAGUGCAGUUACUGCUGAAUAUUGGUACUUAAACAAAAGUGAAACCCUCAGUAAGGAUGGAGAAAGAGACUACUCCCAGGCACACACCUGCGAUGUUAAAGCAAGGCACUAACUUAAACACGAUACAAAACUGUUGUCAUAUCCUGUGUCCUGGACUGGGGUAAGUACAAGACCAAGAGACAAAAAGGUCAGCUCCAGGACCUCGUGGUUGAAUUAAGAGUGCUUAUAGUAUCACUGAAGAAAAAGUAUGUUAACACAUUGGUGAAGGAAGAUGCUCCUGGUUACUGAGCUCUUGCCUCCCUUGCACAGCAGUUAUUUGGGGGAUUACCUAGGACAAAGCAACAAAGCAACUGCAGAGAUCAGAUUUUGAUAGUUUAUAGACACUGUGAUUUUACCUUAGCUGCUGGUGAUACUACCUACAUGGCCAUUGUAUACUACUUUUAGUUGACAACUUGUUGAUGUAUUCAUGCGCUUCCUGUGAUGACCUUGUGAACCUGGCCACUACCUCAAAUACACUGUACCACAGGAUUCCCAAAGAAAUCUCAGGAUGCUCUGCUAGUUGGCAGAUCUGCUAAAAGUUUUGUGGCAAUCCCAGUAUAAGCAAAAAGGCAGGAACCCCAGAGACUGGUGUAGGAAGCAGCUGAUGACUGUGCUAUGGUCACCUGCAAAGUGACAGAGGAUAUUAAUGGGCUGUUAUUAGACUGUUGCUCUAGUGGGUGUUGCAAAAACUCUGAAUUGUGGCUUGAGUGAAAGAGAUUGAACUGAGAUUCAUAAAACCCCAGUAUAAGGUGUAGUAGAUGGAGGGAGCUAUUUGGCCUUUGUAUUCUCCUUAGUGCUGUCCCUGCAACUUGCCCUUCAUCUUGUCUGUCAACACUGUCCUGGUCUGACGCUGUCAUUCCUACCCUGAGUACUCAUGACUCUCCUCCUUUCUUAUGAUACUCGAUUAACCCACCUGCCCC